UUUUAUCCAAUUAACAGAUGUUUACUCAAUUACGCUUUACAUAUGAACAAGAGAGCCAUCCUGAGGAGUUCUUUAUUCCUUAUGUGUGGCAGCUAGUUAUAUCUCGCAGCUCAUUCAGUUUUAAUCCCAGUAGCCUAAAUCUGUUUCCAGUUGAUCUGCCU